rnacentral:lncRNA from 1 species
AAUAUGUCUGCUUUUAUAGAGACAUCAGGGAGAUCCUAUACGGCUGUACCUGUGUUUUUUCAAUGAUCUGAAAUUCUGAAAGAGUCUUCAUUCUGUAACUGUGUAUGACAAUUUGUUCACAGAAAGCUUGUCCUCACUACCCUGGAUUUAUCUUCAUAGGCCGGUAAUUGGUGCUGCAUUCAGAUGGUUCAUUUCUCCAAAAUGAAAAGGGUAAGCUAUAAUAUUACUAACCAAUUAAAAUUGCACUAAAAUGGAACAUAUAUAUGGCAGCUUGUUAAGUGAAUCACCAUAAGAAAUUGUUAUAGCAUGCAGCUCUUUCUCCACGCUGCUCUUUUUAUAACGGAUAGGUUUACGUGAUCCAGAAUUAUGCAAAUCGUAAACCAUUCGUAGUUGCAUGUAAUUCAUUCAGUUUAGGAUAGCUGAGUUCUGAUGAAUUCCACGUGCAGACCUAAAAAGUUAGGUUGCACGUAAUGGGGAGUGUUGGAGAGGAAAUAUCCCACAUCAGAAAAGAGACAAAUAAAACAUAACUUAUAAGUGAAUGGAUCGUAUUCAAUGUACCGAGGCUUUUUGUAAUUAAAACCCAACACCUUUAAGGUGGUUUAGUUAGGACAAUAUCGGUACAAUAAUGAUCCACAUGCCACGCUUGUCUAUGUUCAAGUGUUUGAGACUAGGUAGGAUAGCAAGUCGUUGUUGUAUCGCUAUAUUAUAAUUUUGUAAGAAGUGAGUUUUACAUAGUGGAAAAGUUUGUCCCUCAAGAGUUAGGGGCAUGUAGUUUUGUAAGAAGUGAGUUUUAUAUAGUGGAAUGGUUUGUCCCUCAAAAGUUAGGGGCAAGUAGUUUUUCUCCCUGGAUCUCCCUGGAUGCAGGGUUUCUGCAGUAAAAAAAUCUUAUUGGUGUUUCUUGUUUUUACCUAUCCCUGAGAACGAAUUUAUACGAAAAAAAGUUCCCCCCUCUUUCUCUCGGACCUUCAAGCAGGCAGCCAGACAAUCAAUGUCUCUGGAGUCUGGACUUAAGGUGGACUUGUUCAAUUUGGUUGUAAUUUGGAGACAAAUGUGACACCUUCUCUAUCAGAAACUAUUGGAAACUAUUAUAUCUUAUAUCACCAUGCCUUUGUUUUUUGCAAACAUUGAUGGACUUAUUAAACAAAGAUUUACGAUUCAGUCUUGCAGAUCUAGACAAGGUUGUGCACUGGCGGCCUCUUCAGGUAUUACUUAUGAUCCAAGUCAUCUCGUUCUUGAAUUGUUUCGUCACUGAACAUAUAUGCUUACAGUUUUAUGGUUUUUACGUUCAUGGUUACGAUUAAGGGUGCUUCACAUUUACAUUUCAAGCUUCAGUUUACCCAUGCCAUUUCCCUUUCAGAUUCAUUUUUGAAGACAAGGUUGUAGAUCAGUAGCUCAGACAUUAGAACAUGCUUUCAAGUUACAAGAUUACCUGAUUAACUCUGUAACCAAUUUUAACUCCGGUGUUCUGCAUUGGAACCAAGAAUAAGCUUGGACAGGGCAGCCAUUAAACUCCACCCCGAAACAAAGAGUACAGUGCAUGGCACCAUUCCAACUCAACUACAAAUGUCUGAUCAAUUCAAUUGCAUCGAUCAUGGAUGUCCCUGCAUAACUAAUUAUAUAUCAAACGUCUUUGGGACUGUAGUUCAAGGAAACCAACAUAACAUUUUCUGAUGUUCAUUCUAUUAGCUAUGUUCUAUCAACAAGGUUUAGCUAAUUUGGCUAGGAACACAUAUGGUUAGGCCAAUUUGGGAAAGCUGCCAUGUGACUGGUAAUGAGAAAGAAUACCACCAAUAGUAUGUGAGAUUCAUCUCAGAAUGUGGAUCUGUCAGCGUCACAACAGAAAUUUCCGCUUCACAAAUUACUGAUAUAAGACAGCCAUUUAGUGCAAAAUUAUAAAUAAAUAUACAACCAUAUUAUUAGGCUGUUAGAGUAUUUACUAAAGGGUUCUCAUGCAUAAUUUUACAAAAUGGAUGAAUCGGGUUCCUAUAGUUUGCGCAUUUAGGCCGCCCUAACAAAGACAUGAAUCUGUUUAUGACUCAAAAAAUAGAGGAGAUAAGCUAUGGUGCUGGGAUGUAUAUCCUACUUUUAUUUUACAUGUACUUAAACAAAAAUUACAAUGUUAAUUAUGAAUAAAAUUACAACAUUGAGAACAAAUUUACCAAAUUUAUUUACACUAUUUACAUAAAGUUAAACAAAAUUACAACUAUGAGAACAAUUUGGUCAAAAAGUUGUAAAAUGGUUGUACAUUUUGUAAUUACAAUUAUUAGAACAAGAUUACAAACAAUACGACUCAACAUUACCACUUUGACUACAAAUAUGUUGUCACAUUUGUAAAUGUAGGUAUCACAUACGGGUAGGUACCAUAGAAUUUCCCAAAAGAGGAAGGGGAAAAAGUGUGUAUCCUACAGAGGUCUCUUCUCUGAAGAAAUAAAAAAGGUGCAAAUUAACAAAAGUCUAUAUGAUUUCUUGAACCAUGAAAUGAAAGAAAUUAUCUGAUCAACUCUGGUAACAGUAUUGCUAAAUGAGCUCAAACAAAUCUUCUACUUGAGGUAACAGAAUCAAACAAAUAAACGCCAAUGUGGCUACAAUGACAAAUCAACUGCAACAAUUCUCAAAACAAAUCACACAAACUUAAACGAAUAUUCAACCCCUUUGGACUAAAUCAUAGAUAGCUCCAUCUUGGAGUCUAGAACUUGGACUGGAAAUCAUAGAUAGUAUCCUUGUCAACUUGGAAUGCCUUUGCAAGAACAUCAGCAGAAAUGGCAGGAUUUGAUCCAAACACUGCAUUAGCAAUGCUAAUAACACCUGGAUUUUGGCUGCUGAGAGCAGCAAUGGCGACUGCAUUAACCUUUCCAACGUUGUGCUGGAAAUGCACGAGUCCUACUGGGAACACAAACACAUCACCCUUUUGAAGCACCUUUGUGAUAAGUUUGUUUUCGGGGUUGGAGGUGACAAAACCCACUUGGAGGCUCCCUUCAAGGACUGUCAAGAUUUCAGUCGCCCUAGGAUGAGUGUGUGGAGCAUUGAUGCCCCACGGUGCAUAGUCAAUACGAACAAGGGAGAUACCAAAAGUAUUGAGUCCUGGAAUUUGGGCUACAUUAGCAGGAGUCACCUUUGAACCAGCAGGGUUUGAUGUGUUGCCUGCUAGGUGAAGUCCACUGAAGAAGAAAUCCUCAGCGACAACAAGCUUGGGGUCCUUGCACACAUGUCCAUUCACUGGAACUGAAAUUAAAAUUCAUCACAUAAAUGUAUCAGAAACAUAAACAUUAGGUGAUGUCUUUUUAAUUGAUAAAUAUAGUCACAUUGACAUAUGUGAGUAUGAUUCUAGCUUGCUAGCUACCUGAGCCUGUUGGGUCAGCAACACAGAAAUCCUGAAGAGAACUUGGGUCAGAUGCCAAAGCUAUGGAAACAGUUACGGCAAGGCACACUAAAAACAGAAACCGAGAGGCCAUUGUUGGGAAUCAAGCUAGUAAUUGCUGAAGCUUUCUAGUCAAGGUUACGCUUGCUCAGAUUGUGGAUUGAGAUCCAGCAAAUAUGUCUGCUUUUAUAGAGACAUCAGGGAGAUCCUUUACGGCUGUACCUGUGUUUUUUCUAUGAUCUGAAAGAGUAUUCAUUCUGUAACUGUGUAUGACAAUUUGUUCACAGAAAGUUUGUCCUUGCUACCCUGGAUUUAUCUUCAUAGGCCGGUAAUUGGUGCUGCAUUCAGAUGGUUCAUUUCUCCAAAAUGAAAAGGGUAAGCUAUAAUAUUACUAACCAAUUAAAAUUGCACUAAAAUGGAACAUAUGGCAGCUUGUUAAGUGAA